rnacentral:rRNA from 1 species
GACGAACGCUGGCGGCGUGCUUAACACAUGCAAGUCGAACGGUCCUGUUUUUGAAGCGUUUCGGCGUGGAGGGGACGGGGCAGUGGCGCACGGGUGAGUAAUGCGCGAGGACCUGCCCGCGGGAGGGGGACAGCAGUUGGAAACGGCUGGUGAUACCCCGUAGGCCGGGAGGUAAAAGGGCGGAGACGCCCGCCUGCGGAUGGACUCGCGUCCUAUCAGCUAGUUGGUGAGGCAACGGCUCACCAAGGCGACGACGGGUAGCCGGCCUGAGAGGGUGUCCGGCCACACUGGAACUGAGACACGGUCCAGACUCCUACGGGGGCAGCAGUGGGGGAUCUUGCACAAUGGGCGAAAGCCUGAUGCAGCGACGCCGCGUGAGCGAAGAAGGCCUUCGGGUUGUAAAGCUCUGUCUGGAGGGACGAACAAAAUGACGGUACCUCCGGAGGAAGCCACGGCUAACUACGUG